rnacentral:rRNA from 1 species
CUGUGAAGAUGCAGUGUACCCGCGGCUAGACGGAAAGACCCCGUGAACCUUUACUACAGCUUGGCACUGAACAUUGACCCUACAUGUGUAGGAUAGGUGGGAGGCUUUGAAGCGCAGUCGCUAGAUUGCGUGGAGCCGUCCUUGAAAUACCACCCUUGUAGUGUUGAUGUUCUAACGUUGACCCCUAAUCGGGGUUGCGGACAGUGCCUGGUGGGUAGUUUGACUGGGGCGGUCUCCUCCCAAAGCGUAACGGAGGAGCACGAAGGUGGGCUAAUCACGGUUGGACAUCGUGAGGUUA